CCUACGGGUGGCAGCAGUGAGGAAUAUUGGUCAAUGGACGAGAGUCUGAACCAGCCAAGUAGCGUGAAGGAUGACUGCCCUAUGGGUUGUAAACUUCUUUUAUAUGGGAAUAAAAUGUUCCACGUGUGGGAUUUUGUAUGUACCAUAUGAAUAAGGAUCGGCUAACUCCGUGCCAGCAGCCGCGGUAAUACGGAGGAUCCGAGCGUUAUCCGGAUUUAUUGGGUUUAAAGGGAGCGUAGGUGGGUUGUUAAGUCAGUUGUUAAAGUUUGCGGCUCAACCGUAAAAUUGCAUUUGAAACUGUAAGACUUGAGUACAGUAGAGGUAGGCGGAAUACGUGGAGUAGCGGUGAAAUGCUUAGAUAUAACGAAGAACUCCGAUAGCGAAGGCAGUUCACUAGACUGCAACUGACACUGAGGCUCGAAAGUGUGGGUAGCAAACAGGAUUAGAUACCCUAGUAGUC
rnacentral:rRNA from 1 species